UACGGGAGGUGCAAGCGUUAUUCGGAGUGAUUGGGCGUAAAGCGCACGUAGGCGGACUUGUAAGUCGGAUGUGAAAUCCCUAGGCUUAACCUGGGAACUGCAUCCGAAACUAUAAGUCUUGAAUAUCUCAGAGGUUGGUAGAAUUCUUGGUGUAGGAGUGAAAUCCGUAGAUAUCAAGAGGAAUACCGGAGGCGAAGGCGGCCAACUGGGAGAAUAUUGACGCUGAGGUACGAAAGCGUGGGGAGCAAACAGG
rnacentral:rRNA from 1 species